GACGAACGCUGGCGGCGUGCUUAACACAUGCAAGUCGAACGGAAAGGCCUUUUCGGAGGUACUCGAGUGGCGAACGGGUGAGUAACACGUGGGUGAUCUGCCCUGCACUCUGGGAUAAGCCUGGGAAACUGGGUCUAAUACCGGAUAGGACCGCACUUUAGUGUGUGUGGUGGAAAGUUUUUUCGGUGUAGGAUGAGCCCGCGGCCUAUCAGCUUGUUGGUGGGGUAAUGGCCUACCAAGGCGGCGACGGGUAGCCGGACUGAGAGGUUGGUCGGCCACAUUGGGACUGAGAUACGGCCCAGACUCCUACGGGAGGCAGCAGUGGGGAAGAUUGCACAAUGGGCGCAAGCCUGAUGCAGCGACGCCGCGGGGGGGAUGACGGCCUUCGGGUUGGAAACUCCUUUCGCCAGGGACGAAGCGUUUUGUGACGGUACCUGGAGAAGAAGCACCGGCUAACUACGUG
rnacentral:rRNA from 1 species